UUAUUUUGGCAGAUUAGUGCUUUAAAUUUAGAAUUUAAAUAAGUGUAAUAAACACAAGUAAUAU
rnacentral:tRNA from 1 species